rnacentral:rRNA from 1 species
UACGUAGGUGACCAGCGUUGUCCGGAUUUACUGGGCGUAAAGAGCGCGCAGGCGGUCGUUCAAGUCGAGUGUGAAAGCCCCCGGCUCAACUGGGGAGGGUCAUUCGAUACUGAUCGACUUGAAGGCAGGAGAGGGAAGUGGAAUUCCCGGUGUAGCAGUGAAAUGCGUAGAUAUCGAGAGGAACACCAGUGGCGAAGGCGAGUCUCUGGACGACUCCUGACACUGAGGCACGAAAGCUAGGGGAGCAAACAGG